rnacentral:lncRNA from 1 species
UAUUUUUUUUUGGUAAAAUUUUGUGUGUAUGGAUUUUGCAUGUAUGUCUGCAUACCGUGUAUAUGAAGUGCAUGUGGAAGGCAGAAGGGGGCGAUUGAUUUCCUGAAACUGGAUGCUGGGAAUCCAACCCCAGGUCUCUGGAAGAGCAUCCUGUACUCUUAACCACCAAACCAACUCUCCAGCCCCAAUCAAACUUGUUUUUAAGGGCCUUGGUCUCAAGCUGCACCAAGCAAUUUGUUGGGCUGAAGUGCAUCUUUUGGUGCCUUUGAGUUUAAGAAACUUGAUCUUGACUUUUUCAGCUAGGAAUUAUGGGUCAUAUUCCUUGACUGACAUGAAUUAUAUACAAUGCUUAGCCUAGACUUCUCCCAGAGUCUUGCCUGGUAUUGAGACAAGGCAACUUCUCGUGAUCAUUAGAGUACUUUCCACACUAUCUUUUGAAAACAUGCACUAUACAUCCCAAAGCAAAACCACUUCUAUUUAUUCUUUCAAAUACUGUAUGGCAUGGACAUAAAGGGCUAAGAACCCAUGAUGGUUCUUUUGCUAAGAUGCGAGUCUUUUAUAUCUGGAGACUUGAGUCACAUCCUUUUCUUUACUCUCCUCAAUACCAGUAGGUCAUCCAACAUUAUAGACACAGAUGUCAAGCAGCAACGUGAUAUUCAUUGUGAUUGCUGAGAGGGACUGGGUGAAUAAUUAUUAUACACAAGAAAUACUUCCUCUCCUAUGAGUUAAGAUGCUGUAUCUUGAAGAAAAGCCAGUUAGUGUCCAAACUCCUAGGGAAGACUAGCAGUGAUGGCCACGUGUCAGUUUCUACCCCAAAUCAGCUGGGCAAGAAGUGACUAACCUUUGGCUUCUCUUGACUAUGAACAGAACCCAGCUUAAAGAUGAGAAUAAAGGCCAGAAUCCCUGUUCCCCCCAAACACAACCCCCCUAAAACUAUCCCUGGGAAUCCCCUACUUACCUUCAGAGGAAUUUCUACUCCCCAAAGCCCUUUACCUCUUGACCUUCCUGCUGGAACCAGCCAUUGACAGCACCAAUACUCAUGCAGCUAUAACAUGUGAACAUACGUCUGUUUGGAAAAUCAAAACAAAACUUGAUAGCCAGGACAGAGUGACUUAGCUGUGGAGAAAGACCAGAGCUGAGAGUAAAAUCUAUCCCCUUAUUUUCAGAUGGUUCAUCCAAUUACUGCAGACCCAGUACAGAUUGUGCCUGACCACCUGAGAUCCUGACUGGUAGCAAAAGGCACGUAUCUAAAAGCAGUCAGCAUAAUUUCCCAGCCCAGCUGGAAUCAGACAGUGUUCUUCUUCAGGUUGGCUACCUACUGACCUAGACUAAGCCCUUGGUCCUCUCUCAGUCUUGGAAUCCUUUCCUGUAAACCAGGAAAGGCCAAGCUCUCCUCAAGGUCUUUUCCGGUUAAAAUCUACAACUCUGUGUAAUGUGUUUCCUCCCAAAGUACAAAGUACAAAGUUCCUCCUUACAGUCUUAUUUAUACAAAACAUAAACUAAGACCAGAUCACCAUGAUCUCAUUGCUUAGAGGGAAAAAAAAAGUGAUUAACUCCUUAGGGGAAAGAAUAGCUUCUUGCCAGUCAGCUCAGCUCUACAUUUAAAUGAGAUGGGUCAAGCCAUUUCUAAUAGCAGGGUCUUUUUUUUUUUUUAAUCCUCUUCUGCCAGUCUCUAGCAGAGGACAGAACUCUGAUGUUGCCCUCUUUCAAAUAAACAGUAUGAAAGGUCUCUGAUUACUUACUCUUAACUGGGAACAGAUCUGGAGAGAUGACUCAGUGGUUAAGAACAUAGAGCCCUGGCAAAAGAUCCCAACACCCACACCAGGGAGCUUACAACCUAUCAGUCCAACUCCAAGAGGUCCAACUUCUGACUUCCACAGGCACCUGCACUCGCAUGGCAUAUAUCUGCACAGACAUAUACAUAAUUUAAAAUAAAAUUAAAUUGUAAAGG